rnacentral:rRNA from 1 species
CCGACGGUGAGAGGUGAAAGCUGGGGGAGCAAACCGGAUUAGAUACCCGGGUAGUCCCAGCCGUAAACGAUGUGGGUUAGGUGUAUCGGUGACCACGAGUCACCGAGGUGCCGAAGAGAAAUCGUGAAACGUACCGCCUGGGAAGUACGGUCGCAAGGCUGAAACUUAAAGGAAUUGGCGGGGGAGCACCACAACAGGUGGAGCCUGCGGUUUAAUCGGACUCAACGCCGGAAAACUCACCAGAUAA